rnacentral:rRNA from 1 species
GUGCCAGCCGCCGCGGUAAGACGAACCGUGCGAACGUUGUUCGGAAUCACUGGGCUUAAAGGGCGCGUAGGCGGUUUGCCAAGUCAGGGGUGAAAUCCUGCAGCUCAACUGUAGAAGUGCCCUUGAUACUGGCGAACUCGAGGGAGGUAGGGGUGCGUGGAACUUCUGGUGGAGCGGUGAAAUGCGUUGAUAUCAGAAGGAACGCAGGUGGCGAAAGCGACGCACUGGACCUCUUCUAACGCUGAGGCGCGAAAGCUAGGGGAGCAAACGGGAUUAGAUACCCCUGUAGUCC